UUUUUUAAUUGGGAACUGGAAUGAAAGGUAGAGACUAAGAGGAAAGUUUUAUAUUAUAAUUUUGAAUUUAAGUUAAAGGUUAAAAUGCUUUUAUUAAUUUCUGGGACGAGAAGACCCUAGAAGCUUAUAAUUGGAUUAAUUUUUAUUGGGGUAAUAAUUGAAGGGUAUAAUUUUUAAUUAAUUAUUAUAUAAUAUAAGGAAGUUACUCUAGGGAUAACAGCGUUAUUUAAUUAGCAAGUUCUUAUUAAUAAUUAUGAUUGCGACCUCGAUGUUGAAUUAAAUUAAAUUUUUGGUGUAGGGGCUAAAAUAAUUAAGUCUGUUCGACUUUUAAUAAUUUACAUGAUUUGAGUUCAAACCGGUUUAAGCCAGGUCGGUC
rnacentral:rRNA from 1 species